GCCCUGGUAGCUCAGCUGGAUAGAGCAGCGGACUUCUAAUCCGCAGGUCGCGUGUUCGAGCCACGCCCAGGGUACCA
rnacentral:tRNA from 1 species